GUAGCAAUCCGUGGUUUGAAUCAGAUGGUCAUCAAUGAUCAUCAGAUGCUCGCUCGAGCUGAACAAUCAAAACAAAUAACACAUAAUCGUAACCUUACAACUGUCCGCACUUAAUGAGUCGCAUUAUGUAUGAUUGUCAACAAUAUCAUUCGAUUGGUUGAUUCUAAUAGCAUCGUAAAUUUUACCGGUACGAGAAUAUAGAGUUCACUACGGUGUAUAAAAUCUAAGAAUAUCCUAUCGUUAGGCUACAUCAUGGAGAUGCUCGGUCGGUGCGACGUCCCCUUGCUAUUUUAGUGUAUUUUUAGAAAUAUUGCAUAGAAAUACUUUGUCAUAGCCGCACGAUAAUCAUAUUUUGACAGAGUAUCGGCAGUGAUUCGCGGCGAAAAUGAGCCAGGGCUGUUGGAAAUUCGACGGGGAGAAUAAAGCGUUGUAUAUAGACCUUGACGACGAAGACACCGAAGAGGACAAAAAAAGGAAAAUAUACAGUCAUUGGGAUGAAACGCCUGACAUAAUUCUAGAGAAAGUUUUUUCUUACCUAACCGUUCGUGAACGCUAUUAUGCAUCUUUGGUGUGCAGAUCAUGGUAUCGUGCCUUUAAGUUGCAAAGUGUAUGGUCAACGUUUACAUUAGAGGAUACCACGCUUACUAGGGGCAAAUUUAACUAUUACAGUGGGUGGCAGUAUGUUUUGGAUCAUAUGAGAACAUCUGCGUGUUUAAAUAAAGUUGGUCAAAAUUUUCGUUCGUUGGUUUUCGAGCCUAUGUUAAACUUUUAUAAUCUUUACGAGUUUAUGAAUAUGAUAUCUUGGUAUACGGAGAAACAAGGGUCUGAUAAUACGUCGGUGGCAGGAGUCGGUACCUAUAUCAGGCGACUUAAAUUUACGUUUCCUUGCAAUAUGGCAAACAGAGACGAUCCUGACCGCAUCAGACUGUUUGGUACCGGUGGAAAAUUGUUGGAAGCAUUGAAAAGACUUAUGCGUAAUUUAUGUAACAUAAGAUGUUUAGAGUUAAUAGAUCUUAUGUUAGACAGUAAAGAAGCUUUACAUUUAAUGGAUGAUAUUUGUGCGAAUUGUACGCAAACAUUGUCAAAAUUAGUAUUAAUUAACACCACAAGGUAUUAUUGCCCCCUCUUACAUGUCGGAGUAUUUAUUAAUCUAAAAGUAUUGAUCAUUAGUCCUCAAAAUCUUCACGAAGAUGUAAUAGAUUUAAUUGGGUACACUAAAUUGAAACAUCUUCAUAUCGUUCAAAAUCGCUAUAGUCCAAAGGAUACAACAAUGAGAUUGCCUAAAAGAAAAUCUUGGAUAAAAAUGAAAGAAAAUAAUCCUUACCUUAAAGUACAUUUUGAAGUGGAAAGUUACAAGCCCACAGAUAUACUUUUGCCCAUUGAUUUAUUGGAGCACGGCGGUAUUCCGUGUCAUAGUAUUGUUGUAGAUAAUCCAAAUACACAGAUUUCAUCCUCCACUGUUCAUACUCAUGGAACAUUUUUUGCAUCAACGAUAAGAGUAUACGCUUUCAAAGGACUGACAAGAUACUUCUUGCAUAGAAAUUUUGCGCAAAGAUUGGAUGAAGCAUUAGUGCAAUUCUGCAAAAUGUGUCCAAAUCUUCAUACACUGGUAGCAUUUUGUGUUUGAACGAAUUUCCGAUGUUGUACCCGAUAGCUUUCCUAAAAUACUGAUUCUAACAAAGUUCUUAUGGUGUGUUGGCAUGCAUUCAGAUUCUUGUUGUACAAAAGGCUUUAUUACCGUUCUUAGAUCUAUUUAUGUACAUAUGUCGUGUGGCAAUAUCAAUGAUCUGCGAAUAGUAUACAAGGCAACAGACAUAGAUACAGAUCGAUUAUUGUAUCAAUGACUUGGAAGCCAGUCAGUGGGAGGCAAACAUUUUACCAUGACACAUUUCAUAACUUGGCUAAGGAUUGGGUUGAUCUUAAUGAUCCGAGAUAAGGUAUCAACAGCUACGAUUUUAGAAAUUGUUUCUACCGCCAAGGCUUUGCGUUGUUUACAUGUCCGACGAAACGCAGUUUUAAAGAGAUGCGAUAGAGAUUGGUUGAAAAUAUUGAAUUGGUCACCGGA